rnacentral:rRNA from 1 species
UACAGAGGUCCCGAGCGUUGUUCGGAUUCACUGGGCGUAAAGGGUGCGUAGGUGGCCUGAAAAGUUUGAUGUGAAAGCUCAGGGCUUAACCCUGAAAUGGCAUUGAAUACUGUCGGGCUGGAGGUUUGGAGGGGGGACUGGAAUUCUUGGUGUAGCAGUGAAAUGCGUAGAAGAUGUGGAGGAACACCGAUGGGCGAAGGCAGCCCCCUGGGUUAACACCUGACGCUCAGGCACGGAAAGCGUGGGGAGCGAAACAAGG